ACAAUAGAAUCCAAUAUUGCGUAUAACCUCGGCAAUACGGGCCGGGGGUUUCUACCGGGAACCGUAAACUCCCGAUUACCAGCAUGCUUCUUUCGGCA
rnacentral:ncRNA from 2 species